rnacentral:rRNA from 1 species
AUUGAACGCUGGCGGCAUGCCUAACACAUGCAAGUCGAACGGUCGCAGAAAGCGCUUUCUUGUUUUGCUUUAGCGUCGCGGACGGGUGUAUCAUGUGUGGAACAUUGCCUGAUGGCGGGGGUUAACUCCUGGAAACGGUAGCUAAUCCCGCAUAACGUCUCAAGCCCAUAGAGGGAGACUUAAAGGCCUCUUGACAUCCGAUUUGACCGGAGUGCAUUAGCUUGUUGGUGGGGUAACGGCUUACCAAGGCGACGAUCCCUAGCCGAUCUGAGAGGGUGAACGGCCACACUGGAACUGAGACACGGUCCAGACUCCUACGGGAGGCAGCAGUAGGGAAUAUUGCGCAAUGGGCGAAAGCCUGAUGGAGCCACGCCGCGUGAGUGAAGAAGGCCUUCGGGUCGUAAAGCACUGUCAUUAGGGAAGAAGAGAUUAAAGAGAAACCGUUUGCACAUUGACGUUACCUAAAGAGAAAGCACCGGCUAACUCCGUG